UACGUAGGUGGCAAGCGUUGUCCGGAUUUACUGGGCGUAAAGAGCGCGCAGGCGGCCAAGUCAGUCGAAUGUGAAAGCCCCCGGCUCAACUGGGGAGGGUCAUUCGAUACUGCUCGGCUCGAAGACAGGAGAGGGAAGUGGAAUUCCCGGUGUAGUGGUGAAAUGCGUAGAUAUCACUCGGAAGGCCAACGGCGAAGGCAGGUUACUGGUACGCAACUGACGCUGAGGCACGAAAGCGUGGGGAGCAAACAGG
rnacentral:rRNA from 1 species